rnacentral:piRNA from 1 species
UCCUCAAAUUUGGAAAGGUAAGUGUCAG